rnacentral:rRNA from 1 species
AGAGUUUGAUCCUGGCUCAGAUUGAACGCUGGCGGAAUGCUUUACACAUGCAAGUCGAGCGGCAGCGCGGGGCAACCUGGCGGCGAGCGGCGAACGGGUGAGUAACAUAUCGGAACGUACCCAGUAAUGGGGGAUAGCUCGGCGAAAGCCGGAUUAAUACCGCAUACGCCCUGAGGGGGAAAGCGGGGGACCGCAAGGCCUCGCGUUAUUGGAGCGGCCGAUAUCGGAUUAGCUAGUUGGUGGGGUAAAGGCCUACCAAGGCGACGAUCCGUAGCUGGUCUGAGAGGACGACCAGCCACACUGGAACUGAGACACGGUCCAGACUCCUACGGGAGGCAGCAGUGGGGAAUUUUGGACAAUGGGGGCAACCCUGAUCCAGCCAUUCCGCGUGAGGGAAGAAGGCCUUCGGGUUGUAAACCUCUUUCGGCAGGAACGAAACGGUGAAGGCUAAU